GGGCUUGUAGCUCAGUUGGUUAGAGCGCUACAUUGACAUUGUAGAGGUCAGAGGUUCGAAUCCUCUCAGGCCCACCA
rnacentral:tRNA from 1 species